UGGGGAAUAUUGCACAAUGGAGGGAACUCUGAUGCAGCGACGCCGCGUGAGUGAUGAAGGAAUUCGUUUCGUAAAACUCUGUUCUAUGGGAAGAAAAGGACUGUACCAUAGGAGAAAGCUCCGGCUAAAUACGUGCCAGCAGCCGCGGUAAUACGUAUGGAGCGAGCGUUGUCCGGAAUUAUUGGGCGUAAAGGGUGCGCAGGCGGCUUUACAAGUUGGAUGUGAAAUAUUGUGGCUCAACCACAAACGUGCAUCCAAAACUGCAAAGCUUGAGUUAAGGAGAGGUAAGUGGAAUUACUGGUGUAGCGGUGGAAUGCGUAGAUAUCAGGAGGAAUACCGGUGGCGAAGGCGACUUACUGGACUUAAACUGACGCUCAGGCACGAAAGCGUGGGGAGCAAACAGG
rnacentral:rRNA from 1 species